CCCCCCGGGGCCGCCUCUGGUCCCCCCCUUGGGCCCCCCCCUGCCGCAGCCCCCCCACCCGGGGUGCUCCCCCAGCCGGGGGUGCUCCCCCAGCCGGGGGUGCUCCCCUCGUUCCCCCCCGGGCUGGACAAGAAGGCGGCGAAGAAGAUGAAGAAGAGGAUGAAGAAGGCUCAGAAGAGGCACAAGCGCUCUUCGUCGUCCUCGUCCUCGUCUCCUCCAGCAGCUCCGACUGAGGCUCCUGGGACCUCCCAGACCCCCCAGAAUCACCUGGGACCCCCGAGGACCUCCUGGAACCCCUGGGACCCCCAGGACCACUCGGGACCCCCCAGGACAACCAGGACCCACCUGGGAGCAGCCAGGCUCCCAUCCUGUCCCCGUGGUCCCGGGGGGUCCCAAGAGUGCUCCUGCUGUCCCCCAAUAAAGCCCUGGGACACCCCAA